UUCUUUUCCUUCCGUAUCCCUCUCUCUCGCACGAGACACCCGAGUCUCUUCUCUUCUCUUCCCUUCAGUUUUUCAUUUCUUCUUCUAUUUUGACCUAACGGCUGUGCUGUGCCUGUGGCUGCUCAAAUCUUCAAUCCAGAGCUGCACCUCUGCUGCGGCUGUGCCUGUGGCUGCUGCGAUUUCACGAUCUCCCGCCCAGGCCUAGGCACACACAACACAAACCCGAUCAAGAGCCGCCACAACCAAAUCUCUCUCCCUCUCUGUUAGUCUCCCUUGUGGGCAUGCUUUACAUUCUGUGAUAAAGAUUACCCCUUUGUUCCUGGGUUGUUUUCUGCUUUGGAUAUAGAAGCUACGCACUUUGAUUGGUGCUCCUUGCGUGGGUUUCUGGGCUUCUUAAAAGUUUGUGUAAAAAUACUGUUUGUUCUUUUACUUUCUCAUAUAUGGGAUGGUUUAUCAGUACAAGAAGCUGAAUUCUGCUUGAAAUUUGACAACUUCUGUUAUUUUAUUUUUAUACAUAUAUAUUUUUUUAAAAUUUAACAAAACUAAUGAAACUGUGAAUUGCUCAAGUUUUUAUUUGCUUUGAUGUAUGAAAUAUAAAGUUCAAAUGUAUACAUAGUGUAGUUUUAUACAUCUUCCCAACUAAUAGUUGAUUUUUGAAAGGAAGAUAAUAGUUGUUGAGCUUCCAGUAGCUGAUAUAAAACUUGGGACAAGAAAAGCGACACAAAAACUUGUACUGAUAUUUCUUCAAGAUGACAGAAUAUGACCCUAAUAAUAUUUCUGUAUAUGACCCUAAUAACUUCAAAAACAUCACAAAUGGAUAGGUACUUGUUGGAUCCACUUGAAUCCAUUGAUGAGGAGUUUGAUAUAUUAUAUAUUGUAGAAAUGGGGAGUAAAACAUCCACUACAAAUUUGAAUAAGACUCUCCCUUCUUAGUGUGAUUAAGAUAUGUUGGAAGGUUGCUUUGUGAAGGCUUUUGGAAGAAUGGAUGCAUCAUAUUUUUUGCAAGGAUAUUAUCUCUGUGUAUUUUUGUGAUGGGUUGUAAUCUUUAAUGUCAUAAGUUUAAUUUGGUUUGUGUAUUAUUUUUUGUAAUGGUUUGUAAGAGAUUAUAUUUCCUUUCUUGGUUGGUUGGUUGGUUGAAUGUGUGUAUGUGAGAUUUAUUUAGUUUAGAAACUUAGAUUGGAAUGAUGGAUUUUUAUUGCUUGAAUGUACAUAAUUUCAGGUUUUGAAAGAGAAGUAAAAAGUGUUUUGGGCU